GAGGAUGUAGCUCAAGUGGUAGAGCAUAUGCUUAGCACAAACAAGGUCCUGGGUUCAAUCCCCAGUAUCUCCU
rnacentral:tRNA from 1 species